rnacentral:SRP_RNA from 12 species
GCCGCCUCGCUGCUGUUGGGGUUGCGGCUCCCCCCCACGCCUGAGAAAUCGCCGGCUCUGUCCGCGCGGUAGUCGUCAUUGUCACGCCUUGGAGGGGGGC